CAUANCAAUUUCCACCACACACCAGUUGUUUUACUGAUUUGCCGAUGGUUUAAUUAUAGAAACGUUUGGCUUCUCACUUUUCUCUAGCUUUUCGUUGGAGUUAGGUUCUGACCAUGUUGUAUGGGUUGUUGUAGUGCAAUGCCGCCGGAGUUAGGUCGUGAUCUGGAGCUGAAUGGUGGGGAAAUUGGGGAACGAUCUAUUGAAAGUAUGAAUGGUGAUGUUCUGGUGUAGAAUGACGAGGAAUUUGGGGAAGAUCUGCUACAUCUAUUUAGUGCUAAAUCAGCCGCUCUUACAGUUUCUUUGUCAUCUACUUUUGGGGUUUUUUGGGUGGUUUGGGACAAAUAGUUGUUUAGAUUUGAAAUCGGAUCUGUGUUUUGGUUUUGAAUGUGGUGGAUCUGUGGUGGCUGUUGACGAUCAGUUUCGGUGUUUGGUGUCUGCGACCAAUUAUAUUAUUACUCCGUGACUUUAAAAUUCAAUUAUUUUGUGACAAAAAAGUUACCUGUGACCAUCAAAUUUGAAAAUAUAUGACUUGUGAUAUGUGAUGUCUGUGACUUAUUAAAGUUUUGAUUUGUGAUUUCGAAAUAAUCUGUGAUCAAUUAAUUUGAUGAUAUAUGAUCAGUAAAUAAAUUUGUGACCUAUGAUUGUGUACACGUGACCAUUAAUUGUAUAAUUGUGACUUUAUUAUAUUUAAUUAAUAAAUAUUUUUAAUUAAUUAGAUAAAAAUCUGAUUUUUGCAUCAGUUAAACUUAAAACUGAUUUUUGAAUUGUGCAUAGUUAAUACAUGGUUUAUGAAUUUUUUCUAACAUUAAUUCCUUAAGUUACUACCAACGGUCCACGUUGUUUUCAGGUCAAAAUUUUAGAUUUUGUUGUUGAUAAUCAAUUCACCCAUGGGCUAUGGCCCAUGAAAUUUAAUCCGAC
rnacentral:lncRNA from 1 species